rnacentral:rRNA from 1 species
GACGAACGCUGGCGGCGUGCCUAAUACAUGCAAGUAGAACGCAGUUGCGAACGGGUGAGUACCGCGUAGGUAACUGCCUCAUAGCGGGGGAUAACUAUUGGAAAAGAUAGAUAAUACCGCAUCCUGUGAUAUGGACCUGCGUUGUAUUAGCUAGUUGGUUAGGUAAAGGCGCACCAAGGCGACGAUACAUAGCCGACCUGAGAGGUUGAUCGGGCAAACUUGGACUGAGACACGGCCCAGAUGCCUACGGGAGGCAGCAGGAGGGAAUCGUCGGCAAUGGACGGAAGGCUGACUGAGCAACGGCGGGUUAGGGAAUAAGGUUUUCGGAUCGUAAAGCUAUGUUGUGAGGGAAGCGUUAACUAACCAGAAAGGGACGGCUAACUACGUGCCAGCAGCCGCGGUAAUUC